AACGAACGCUGGCGGCAUGCCUAACACAUGCAAGUCGAACGAGACCUUCGGGUCUAGUUGCGCACGGGUGCGUAACGCGUGGGAACCUGCCCUUAGGUUCGGAAUAACUCCCCGAAAGGGGUGCUAAUACCGGAUAAUGUCUUCGGACCAAAGAUUUAUCGCCUUUGGAUGGGCCCGCGUUGGAUUAGCUAGUUGGUAGGGUAAAAGCCUACCAAGGCGACGAUCCAUAGCUGGUCUGAGAGGAUGAUCAGCCACACUGGGACUGAGACACGGCCCAGACUCCUACGGGAGGCAGCAGUGGGGAAUAUUGGACAAUGGGCGAAAGCCUGAUCCAGCAAUGCCGCGUGAGUGAUGAAGGCCUUAGGGUUGUAAAGCUCUUUUACCCGGGAUGAUAAUGACAGUACCGGGAGAAUAAGCGCCGGCUAACUCCGUG
rnacentral:rRNA from 1 species